GUGGAGGUAGGUUAGCUGGUCUAUACUACGACCCUGUGGCGGUCGUGACGCGGGUUCGAAUCCCGCCCUCCGCC
rnacentral:tRNA from 1 species